CCCAAUCAGCUGAUCAUCUAAACAAAGGAAUUGGUAGGACGAAAUUCACUAGUCAUUUCUCCUUAUUUGACCCACACCACGCCCUCCCACGCCCUGCAGAAGCCACGCCCACACACCUGAGCAGCGGGGCAAGGGCGUCUCCUCCUCGUUCACCAUGGGAUACAACGAUUUAAUGGCGUCCUGGCCCGGUAAAGAGGAAAAUAGUGGAGGCGAUGCGCUGUGCCUUCCACCCAAAGCCGCCAUCUUGACUCCUCUCUCAGCUGUUCCCAUGUUGCCAAGGACACUCGCCAUUACCAACACUCACUCCAUCAAUAAAUGCUUCUAAAAAUAUUAUUCGCUUUGUUUCUAAUGUUGUUUUUAUCGUUUUGUGUUCAUUUUACGUUUUUACUUGGUUUCAUGCCUUUUGGCCCAUAUUCUGUCAAUUUCAUCAAUAAUUGCUUCUAAAAAUACUAUUUGCUUUAUUUUUAAGGUUAUUUUGUUAUGUAUUUUAGUUUUAUUUCAUGUUUUAGAUUUGUUUAGAUGUAUUUUGGGUCAUAUUUCUGUAUUUUUCUCACUCAUUCACUCACUCCAUCAAUAAAUGCUUCUAAAAAUAA